GAACGCACAUUGCGCCCCUUGGUAUUCCGAGGGGCAUGCCUGUCCGAGCGUCAUUACAACCUCUCCAGCUUGCUGGGUCUUGGGCCCCGCCAUCGACGCGGGCCUUAAAAUCAGUGGCGGUCCUGCCAGGCUCUAAGCGCAGUAACUUCUCUCGCUAUAGGGUCCUGGUGGGUGCUGGCCAGCAACCUCAUCUUUCUAAUGGUUGACCUCGGAUCAGGUAGGGAUACCCGCUGAACUUAAG
rnacentral:misc_RNA from 1 species